UUAAGCGACUAAGCGUACACGGUGGAUGCCCUGGCAGUCAGAGGCGAUGAAGGACGUGCUAAUCUGCGAUAAGCGUCGGUAAGGUGAUAUGAACCGUUAUAACCGGCGAUUUCCGAAUGGGGAAACCCAGUGUGAUUCGUCACACUAUCAUUAACUGAAUCCAUAGGUUAAUGAGGCGAACCGGGGGAACUGAAACAUCUAAGUACCCCGAGGAAAAGAAAUCAACCGAGAUUCCCCCAGUAGCGGCGAGCGAACGGGGAGCAGCCCAGAGCCUGAAUCAGUGUGUGUGUUAGUGGAAGCGUCUGGAAAGGCGCGCGAUACAGGGUGACAGCCCCGUACACAAAAAUGCACAUACUGUGAGCUCGAUGAGUAGGGCGGGACACGUGGUAUCCUGUCUGAAUAUGGGGGGACCAUCCUCCAAGGCUAAAUACUCCUGACUGACCGAUAGUGAACCAGUACCGUGAGGGAAAGGCGAAAAGAACCCCGGCGAGGGGAGUGAAAAAGAACCUGAAACCGUGUACGUACAAGCAGUGGGAGCCUCUUUAUGGGGUGACUGCGUACCUUUUGUAUAAUGGGUCAGCGACUUAUAUUCUGUAGCAAGGUUAACCGAAUAGGGGAGCCGAAGGGAAACCGAGUCUUAACUGGGCGUUAAGUUGCAGGGUAUAGACCCGAAACCCGGUGAUCUAGCCAUGGGCAGGUUGAAGGUUGGGUAACACUAACUGGAGGACCGAACCGACUAAUGUUGAAAAAUUAGCGGAUGACUUGUGGCUGGGGGUGAAAGGCCAAUCAAACCGGGAGAUAGCUGGUUCUCCCCGAAAGCUAUUUAGGUAGCGCCUCGUGAAUUCAUCUCCGGGGGUAGAGCACUGUUUCGGCAAGGGGGUCAUCCCGACUUACCAACCCGAUGCAAACUGCGAAUACCGGAGAAUGUUAUCACGGGAGACACACGGCGGGUGCUAACGUCCGUCGUGAAGAGGGAAACAACCCAGACCGCCAGCUAAGGUCCCAAAGUCAUGGUUAAGUGGGAAACGAUGUGGGAAGGCCCAGACAGCCAGGAUGUUGGCUUAGAAGCAGCCAUCAUUUAAAGAAAGCGUAAUAGCUCACUGGUCGAGUCGGCCUGCGCGGAAGAUGUAACGGGGCUAAACCAUGCACCGAAGCUGCGGCAGCGACACUAUGUGUUGUUGGGUAGGGGAGCGUUCUGUAAGCCUGUGAAGGUGUGCUGUGAGGCAUGCUGGAGGUAUCAGAAGUGCGAAUGCUGACAUAAGUAACGAUAAAGCGGGUGAAAAGCCCGCUCGCCGGAAGACCAAGGGUUCCUGUCCAACGUUAAUCGGGGCAGGGUGAGUCGACCCCUAAGGCGAGGCCGAAAGGCGUAGUCGAUGGGAAACAGGUUAAUAUUCCUGUACUUGGUGUUACUGCGAAGGGGGGACGGAGAAGGCUAUGUUGGCCGGGCGACGGUUGUCCCGGUUUAAGCGUGUAGGCUGGUUUUCCAGGCAAAUCCGGAAAAUCAAGGCUGAGGCGUGAUGACGAGGCACUACGGUGCUGAAGCAACAAAUGCCCUGCUUCCAGGAAAAGCCUCUAAGCAUCAGGUAACAUCAAAUCGUACCCCAAACCGACACAGGUGGUCAGGUAGAGAAUACCAAGGCGCUUGAGAGAACUCGGGUGAAGGAACUAGGCAAAAUGGUGCCGUAACUUCGGGAGAAGGCACGCUGAUAUGUAGGUGAAGCGACUUGCUCGUGGAGCUGAAAUCAGUCGAAGAUACCAGCUGGCUGCAACUGUUUAUUAAAAACACAGCACUGUGCAAACACGAAAGUGGACGUAUACGGUGUGACGCCUGCCCGGUGCCGGAAGGUUAAUUGAUGGGGUCAGCGCAAGCGAAGCUCUUGAUCGAAGCCCCGGUAAACGGCGGCCGUAACUAUAACGGUCCUAAGGUAGCGAAAUUCCUUGUCGGGUAAGUUCCGACCUGCACGAAUGGCGUAAUGAUGGCCAGGCUGUCUCCACCCGAGACUCAGUGAAAUUGAACUCGCUGUGAAGAUGCAGUGUACCCGCGGCAAGACGGAAAGACCCCGUGAACCUUUACUAUAGCUUGACACUGAACAUUGAGCCUUGAUGUGUAGGAUAGGUGGGAGGCUUUGAAGUGUGGACGCCAGUCUGCAUGGAGCCGACCUUGAAAUACCACCCUUUAAUGUUUGAUGUUCUAACGUUGGCCCCUGAUCGGGGUUGCGGACAGUGUCUGGUGGGUAGUUUGACUGGGGCGGUCUCCUCCUAAAGAGUAACGGAGGAGCACGAAGGUUGGCUAAUCCUGGUCGGACAUCAGGAGGUUAGUGCAAUGGCAUAAGCCAGCUUGACUGCGAGCGUGACGGCGCGAGCAGGUGCGAAAGCAGGUCAUAGUGAUCCGGUGGUUCUGAAUGGAAGGGCCAUCGCUCAACGGAUAAAAGGUACUCCGGGGAUAACAGGCUGAUACCGCCCAAGAGUUCAUAUCGACGGCGGUGUUUGGCACCUCGAUGUCGGCUCAUCACAUCCUGGGGCUGAAGUAGGUCCCAAGGGUAUGGCUGUUCGCCAUUUAAAGUGGUACGCGAGCUGGGUUUAGAACGUCGUGAGACAGUUCGGUCCCUAUCUGCCGUGGGCGCUGGAGAACUGAGGGGGGCUGCUCCUAGUACGAGAGGACCGGAGUGGACGCAUCACUGGUGUUCGGGUUGUCAUGCCAAUGGCACUGCCCGGUAGCUAAAUGCGGAAGAGAUAAGUGCUGAAAGCAUCUAAGCACGAAACUUGCCCCGAGAUGAGUUCUCCCUGACUCCCUGAGAGUCCUGAAGGAACGUUGAAGACGACGACGUUGAUAGGCCGGGUGUGUAAGCGCAGCGAUGCGUUGAGCUAACCGGUACUAAUGAACCGUGAGGCUUAACCU
rnacentral:rRNA from 1 species